CCUACAUUCAACUCUAACCCAAACGCUUAUCUUAAUAUUUUAGGAUUGGGUUUAGGGUUUGAUUUUAUGGUUGAUUAAAGGUUAAGGUUAGGGUUAGGUGUAGGGUUAGAUUUUAUGGUUGAUUAAGGUUUAAGGUUAGGGUUAGGUGUAGGGUUAGAUUUUAGGGUUGAUUAAGGGUUAAGGUUAGGGUUAGG